rnacentral:rRNA from 1 species
UACGAAGGGGGCUAGCGUUGUUCGGAUUUACUGGGCGUAAAGCGCGUGUAGGCGGGCUGGAAAGUUGGGGGUGAAAUCCCGAGGCUCAACCUCGGAACUGCCUCCAAAACUUCCAGCCUGGAGCAAGAUAGAGGCAAGUGGAAUUGCGAGUGUAGAGGUGAAAUUCGUAGAUAUUAGGAAGAACACCGGUGGCGAAGGCGGCCCACUGGUCCGGUACUGACGCUGAGGUGCGAAAGCGUGGGGAGCAAACAGG